AGAUUGAACGCUGGCGGCAUGCCUUACACAUGCAAGUCGAACGGCAGCACGGGAGCAAUCCUGGUGGCGAGUGGCGAACGGGUGAGUAAUAUAUCGGAGCGUGCCCAGUCGUGGGGGAUAACGUAGAGAAAUUUACGCUAAUACCGCAUACGAUCCAAGGAUGAAAGCGGGGGACCGUAAGGCCUCGCGCGACUGGAGCGGCUGAUAUCAGAUUAGCUUGUUGGUGAGGUAAAAGCUCACCAAGGCGACGAUCUGUAGCUGGUUUGAGAGAACGACCAGCCACACU
rnacentral:rRNA from 1 species